rnacentral:antisense_RNA from 1 species
UGACUCUCUUUUCAGACUCAGCCCGCCUGCACCUAGGUGAUUAAAAGCUUUAUUGCUCACACAAAGCCUGUUUGGUGGUCUCUUCACACAGACAUGCAUGAAACCCAGUAAUCUACUUCAAGUUUCCUAGCUCUUCCCUAUGCCAUCUUCAUUAUGUUUGUGAGCCUAUCCAGUAUUUUAUUUCAAUUACUGUCUUUUUAUUUCUAAAAUUUCCAAUUAGUUCUUUAUAUCUUCUAUUUCUUUGUUGAUAUUUUUCUAUCUUUCCAUUCAUACCCCAGGGCUGAGGGAGCGUAUCCAAGGAAGGGCCAACUUGGAAGGGGUUCAGCCCAUCAGAUAGCAGAUAAGUCCUCUGGUUUGGGCAGGCUAGUCUGGAGUUGCUGGGCAACUAAUAGAAGAACCCCUCAAGCGCAGGUAGGGACCGCCAAUCAGCAACCGGUGGCAUGGCCAUGUGAUGGAAGUCCAGACGGCCUUCAGAGUGUGUGGACCACACAGGCACUUGCAGAAGGCGUGGCAGGUUGGCAUGUGACCCUCAGGGGCACAGGCAGCUGUGUGCAGGCAAUAUGGAGGCUUGCGAAGAAAGUCGAAAUACAAGCACAGGCAGGAGGUCUUCAGAGCACGUGGGCUGCACAAGGGCUCUAUGUUCUGGCUCAAGAGAGCUGUAGAAAGGUGACUGCAAGGCCAAGGAUGCAAAGUCGCAAAGGGACUGUUCUGAGCCCAUGCUUGGGGCAGGUUCCGAUGGAUAUUCUCACAUGCACACUGCUGAUCCCCAGCCCACGCCAAAAAAAGGCAGGAAGCCUCUUCCUACUACCUUGCCUCUCCAGUGCCUUCUACUGAGAAAGCAUAGCACUGCGCUCACUUUAAAGGGCCAAUAUUUAAAGGAAUGCCAUUGUAUAACACAGGGUAUAUUUAUUGAGUGGCGCAUUCAAAGCUGAGAGGCAGUAAGUUGAUAACUGACACCGUGGGUAACCAAUUUGGUUGAGUUCUGACCUCAAAUUCCAACCUGCCUUCUGUGGGUUGUGAUCCCCAUGUCAGGUCAGUUUUCAGUCUUCCUGGUGCUAUUCAGCUAUGUUCCGUGUGCGCCCCCCAGUGGCCAGUCUACGGCGUGGCUGAAGGUCUAUCCCAGUGUUCAGGUCUAACAUCUUUGGAGCGCUGGUUAGGGUCAGAUCCACACAUGCGCAGCUCGGGGAGGAGCCCAGGAAUAAACUCACGGAGCUGUUUUCUCCAAAUUCCUCCCUCUCUGUGAUCUCCCUGGUCCUCUCCUGAUCGCUGGGCUCCCUUUUUCGGUCCUCUGGCCAAAAACUUGGUGUUGUAAUUACCCUGCUCUGCCGUGCACUUCCUACAACUGUACCCACAGUCGCGGCCAAGCAGCGAAGAUUUAAGAGAGUAAGAAAGCGUGACGGUUUGCUCCACUAUUUUGGGCUAUAGCUCCUCUAAUCAGAAAAGGAAGGUUCUCUGCAUGUCCCACUUUAUAUGAAAUCUAAAAAAGUUGAACUCGUAGAAGUAGAGCGUAGAAAGAGGUUGGGGCCGGGGAGGAAGGGAAUGGGGAGUUACUGGUCAAAGGGUACAAAGUUUCGGAUAGGUAGGAGGAAUGUUUUGAAAUCUAUUGCAUAGCGCAGGGCGACUAUAGUCAAUAAUAAAGUAUUGCAUAUUUCAAAAUCACUGAAAGGGUAAAUUUCAAAUAUCUACCAUAAAAAUGGUAGGUAAAAGAAGUGCAUUUAAUUUUUCUUUUACCACUUUUCUUACUCUGUUAUCUUCAGCUCAGGAGUAUCUAACCUGCAAAGAUCUUAAUUAAGGCUUUGGCUUUCGACUUAAAAGUCUCCAUAAAGGAACGCUACGCAUCAUCCUGAAAGUAAAGAUCAAAGUCCACAGCCAGUGGUGAAGAAACAUUAAUAAGAGAAUCAGUCAGCCUAGUUUUUUUGAGGAAAUCUCUACACAGAUCCCAAGUCUACACAUAAAAGCCAAAGUAAAGUUAACUGCAUUUGAGCAGUGUGGGCAGCCCAGCCAGCCACAGUAACUGAAGCUGGAAGAAUUACUCCCUACACACAGGGCUCGUGUUCUCUAGAUCAACCAGACACAUCACAGACUCUGUUGUUGAUGUUCUUUCAUUUCCUUAGGCCAGUCAGCCUUUGGCAAGUAGCCAGAGCUGUACAUUAACUGCCCCUACAUUUUAAAAAUCAUUGCUUAUGAAUUGCUAUGCAUUAACUUAGAGAAAGGUAAUUCUAAUUCCCAUCUUAGAGGAAUGGUCUCUUCUUAAUGCCUUUGUGUUCUAAAUAUUUGAUCAUGUCAAC